GUGUCAGCAGCCGCGGUAAUACAGAGGGUGCAAGCGUUGUUCGGAAUUAUUGGGCGUAAAGCGCGUGUAGGCGGCUUAGCAAGUCGGGCGUGAAAGCCCUCGGCUCAACCGAGGAAGUGCACCCGAAACUGCUGAGCUUGAGUGCCGGAGAGGAUGGCGGAAUACCCCAAGUAGAGGUGAAAUUCGUAGAUAUGGGGUGGAACACCGGUGGCGAAGGCGGCCAUCUGGACGGUAACUGACGCUGAGACGCGAAAGCGUGGGGAGCAAACAGGAUUAGAUACCCUGGUAGUCCACGCCGUAAACGAUGAGAACUAGAUGUCGCGGGUGUUGACCCCUGCGGUGUCGCAGCUAACGCAUUAAGUUCUCCGCCUGGGAAGUACGGUCGCAAGAUUAAA
rnacentral:rRNA from 1 species